UUCUGGAGCCUCAAGUUCCUUUCAUGAUAGAAUUUGCACAAGACAUCCCUACAUAGGAAAGCGAUAGCCUAGACUGUGGGUUAUAUGUUACUGCAUUUGCCGAGUAUAUCAGUGACUAAAUCAAUAUAUCUUAUGCUGAUUUUAAUCCUGAUUACCUGCGUCAAAGAUAUGGAGCAUUGCUUUGGAGUUAUGGAAGUGAGAAGGCUAAGUGCGGAUAUGUUAGCGACAAUGAUGAUCCACCAAAAUCCAGGGGCGUAGUCACACCACCACCAGAAGAAGAUUUAGUUCACAUAGCGUAGCAUUUCAUGAUAAAACAAUGUUUUAAUGUUAUAUUUAUUAUUUUUAUAUGUUAUUGAACAACUAUUUUUAUCCUUUUUAAUGUUAUUUUUUUGGUUUUGUCAA